rnacentral:rRNA from 1 species
ACGGAAGGCAGCAGUGGGGAAUAUUGCACAAUGGGCGAAACCCUGAUGCAGCGACGCCGCGUGAGUGAUGAAGUAUUUCGGUAUGUAAAGCUCUAUCAGCAGGAAAGAUAAUGACGGUACCUGACUAAGAAGCACCGGCUAAAUACGUGCCAGCAGCCGCGGUAAUACGUAUGGUGCAAGCGUUAUCCGGAUUUACUGGGUGUAAAGGGAGCGCAGACGGCAUGGCAAGCCAGAUGUGAAAGGCAGGGGCUUAACUCCUGGACUGCAUUUGGAACUGUCAAGCUAGAGUAUCGGAGAGGUAAGUGGAAUUCCUAGUGUAGCGGUGAAAUGCGUAGAUAUUAGGAGGAACACCAGUGGCGAAGGCGGCUUACUGGACGAUCACUGACGCUGAGGCUCGAAAGCGUGGGGAGCAAACAGGAUUAGAUACCCUGGUA